rnacentral:rRNA from 1 species
GAAGCCGGAAUUGCUAGUAAUGGCAGGUCAGCAUACUGCCGUGAAUACGUUCCCGGGCCUUGUACACACCGCCCGUCACACCAUGAGAGUUGGGGAUACCCGAAGCCUGUGAGCUAACAUUAUGAGGCAGCAGUCGAAGGUAGAAUCAAUGAUUGGGGUGAAGUCGUAACAAGGUAAC